rnacentral:rRNA from 1 species
GAUACCUGUAGUAAUUCUAGAGCUAAUACGUGCGUCAAAAGCCGACUUUUUGGAAGGCUUGUAUUUAUUAGAUACUAAACCAGUCCACUUCGGUGGUGUAAUGGUGAUUCAUAAUAACUUUGCGAAUCGCAUGGCUCUGCCGGCGAUGGAUCAUUCAAGUUUCUGCCCUAUCAGCUCGGAUGGUAGUGUAUUGGACUACCAUGGCUAUAACGGGUCACGGGAGAUUAGGGUUUGAUUCCGGAGAGGGCGCCUGAGAGACGGCGACCACAUCCAAGGAAGGCAGCAGGCGCGUAAAUUACCCAAUCCUGAUACAGGGAGGUAGUGACAAUAAAUAACAAUGCCGGGCCUCUUCGAGGUCUGGCAAUUGGAAUGAGAACAAUUUAAAUCCCUUAUCGAGGAUCAAUUGGAGGGCAAGUCUGGUGCCAGCAGCCGCGGUAAUUCCAGCUCCAAUAGCGUAUAUUUUAGUUGUUGCAGUUAAAAAGCUCGUAGUCGAAUUUCUGGUGGAAGAGUGCGGUCCGACCUUUAUGGCCGGUACUUGUACUCUUCGGCCAUCCUUGGGCGGAGCCUGUCUGGCAUUAAGUUGUCGGGCUGGGGAUGCCCAUCGUUUACUGUGAAAAAAUUAGAGUGUUCAAAGCAGACUUAUGUCGUUGAAUAUAUUAGCAUGGAAUAAUAAAAUAGGACCACAGUCGCUAUUUUGUUGGUUUGCGCACCGUGGUAAUGAUGAAUAGGGACAGUUGUGGGUAUUCGUAUUCACUUGUAAGAGGUGAAAUUCUUAGAUUAANGGAAGACGAACUACUGCGAAAGCAUUUACCAAGGAUGUUCUCAUUGAUCANAACGAAGUGUGGGGAUCGAAGAUGAUUAGAUACCGUCGUAGUCUACACCAUAAACUAUGC